UACAGAGGGUGCGAGCGUUGUCCGGAAUCACUGGGCGUAAAGGGCGCGUAGGUGGCGAUCCAAGUCCAUGGUGAAAGCUCGAUGCUCAACAUCGAGUCGGCCACGGAUACUGGGUUGCUUGAGCACUGUAGGGGCAGAUGGAAUUCCGGGUGUAGCGGUGGAAUGCGUAGAGAUCCGGAAGAACACCGGUGGCGAAGGCGGUCUGCUGGGCAGUUGCUGACACUGAGGCGCGACAGCGUGGGAGCAACAGG
rnacentral:rRNA from 1 species